UUCCCCGUAGUGUAAUGGUAGCACACCGGCUUUUGGUGCCGUUAGUCGAGGUUCGAGUCCUUGCGGGGAAG
rnacentral:tRNA from 1 species